rnacentral:rRNA from 1 species
AUUGAACGCUGGCGGCAUGCCUUACACAUGCAAGUCGAGCGGGGGAUGUUGCUUCGGUAACUGACCUAGCGGCGGACGGGUGAGUAAUGCUUAGGAAUCUGCCUAUUAGUGGGGGACAACAUUCCGAAAGGAAUGCUAAUACCGCAUACGCCCUACGGGGGAAAGCAGGGGAUCUUCGGACCUUGCGCUAAUAGAUGAGCCUAAGUCAGAUUAGCUAGUUGGUGGGGUAAAGGCCUACCAAGGCGACGAUCUGUAGCGGGUCUGAGAGGAUGAUCCGCCACACUGGGACUGAGACACGGCCCAGACUCCUACGGGAGGCAGCAGUGGGGAAUAUUGGACAAUGGGCGGAAGCCUGAUCCAGCCAUGCCGCGUGUGUGAAGAAGGCCUUUUGGUUGUAAAGCACUUUAAGCGAGGAGGAGGCUACCGAGACUAAUACUCUUGGAUAGUGGACGUUACUCGCAGAAUAAGCACCGGCUAACUCUGUGCCAGCCGCCGCCGUAA